UGACAGUACAACGAAUCCUUGCGAUACUGGGUUGGAGGAGCUGGUAGGUGGACAGUUGGUAAGUGUUCUUAACAGUCUUCUGUAAUAAACUCUAGGUUCGCUAACUACUAAAGGUUUGCUG